CCAGUGAUAACUUAAAGGCCUUCAGCACAGGGAAAGAGAAUUUCUCCCAAACUUGAUGUGUACCACUGGACUGGAGAAGGCUUUUGACACACGGACCUGCUUCUGCAGAACAGCACAUACCCUAAGCCUGAGGAUCUUCAACAUGUUCUCCGGUGGCAACUGGUGGAGAUUAAGUAGAGACGUAAAAUUAGUAUCUGAAUAUUCAUCUUUGGAAUUAUAGCUUGGGGAGCAAUAUUCAUGCUCCCCCAUCCUCUCAAAUAUUUGCAAAUGCAGCUCAGGGCUUGAAAGAAUAAUACAUAACUAGAAACCGAAGAAAGCACAUAACCCAAUCCAUAGUUGCAAAACCCUCAGGUAUUUCUAGGGAAUUGAGUGACUUUGGAACUGAAAGCAGAUGCAGUAACACAGGCAGCAGCUAAGGACACCACAUUGACUGGUAUCUGGAUUUUAUUCACCAGCUAUUGCUAAGUUUGGAUGUACUUGGUUCUGGAAAGAGAUUUAGCUACUGCUCUUCUUCAGCGAUGAUGUAACUGGACUGCUCAGUAGUGUGGAAACUUUGUAAGAACUUUUAGAGUCAGCAAAAGGAAGCCAUGGCUUCUCUUCAUCAGGAGAUGCUCAUCAUGCGAAUGGUUCAAAAACUAUUGCCAUUUGAAAAUUCAGGUUUUGUUGUUGAAGAAGAAUGAUUAUCCAUCAAGUAUUUACCUGAGCAAUGAAAUGAACAAGAAUGAAGCCUGACCCCCAGAAGCUUGCCUUCUAAUGGGAGACAGCACAGGAAUACUCAGGAGAGAGAAAACUUAAUAACCACCUCAAUAGAGAGCUGCAGAGAGCGCCACCAGGCACACAGAACAGAAAGAAACUUGGCUGUGGGGGUGGGCUAAUUAGGGAAUGCUUCUUGUAGGAGGUGGCAUGUAAGCGUUCUUGAAGGAUGAUUCAGAUUUAAACAAAUGAAAGCAGAUUUCAUUGAGUAAAGGAUUAAAAUGGUAAGUGAAUUAAAUAAUCAAAGUACAGCAUAGGAACUCACUGGAAAUAUGGGCUUGGAACACAGGCUCUACCUUAUUAAUUUCCUCGCCAUCCACAUGAAAAUAAACCUAGAAGGGCAGGUCUAUGGAUGGCCUAGACAGCUGACUCAUAAGAAGACCCAAUAUAACAGGACCAGAUAAUUGUCUUAAAAUUUAGACAACAAUAUUUGUGAUAUUUAAACUUUCAGCCUAUAAUAAAUGUUUGUACAGUCUCUAUAAAAGCAGGAAUAACGUGAUUAUUCUUGGAGCUUUAAAUGAAAGGCAAUUUCUGACCUUCAAAAGCUUUUCCUGACAAUUCUAUUGGCAAAUGAAAUUAUAUAUUCUCAUUCCUCAUGACUGUUCUUUAUGAAAUGACCACGUUUAAAAUGCAAAAAGCAUCUUAUUUUUUGCAAAGUGACAAAACGAUGAUGUAAUAUGGCCCUACAUAUUGAUUAGUAAUUAGUACACAUUUAACUGAAGUACGAUUCUUCAAAGCAGAAGCAUUGUUGUGUUUGAUGUCAAACUAUUACUGAAACUUUCCAAGCAUACUUGGAUUUCUCAGCACUGUCUUUAGAACUAAGCUACGAAUUACAGAAGAUACUAUCUUUCCUUUUUCAAUCACAUAGAUUUUAGACUCAAAAUAUACUUGGAAGCAAAAUGAAGCCCAGAGAUUUUCAGCCCAGCACUUGUUCUUAGCACGUCCAUGUGUGCAUAAUCCACAUGGGUCUGAGACAUUCUUUGUGACAUGGUCAAGAGAAUCUCUAAGCAACUAAAAACAUUGGUGGCGAAGGAAAGUGCCACAUGAGACAAUAUACAUGCCUGUUGUACCUCUCAGUUCUCACCUCUCAAAUAUGUAAUCUUGGUUUCUGCAUUUUAUCUGAGUCUCUGUGAAAACAGUCACACACUUUGAAGCUUCUGUUAGCAUAGUUUUGGAAUGAAACUCACUUCCUAAGUUUUUCACUUUUUUUUUAAAAGAUAUAUCUUGGUAAAUCAAUUUUCAUAUGUAUUUUGAAGACUUUUUAUGGAGUGGCUGGACUGGGCAGGCAAGAACAUCUAGAUGCCGUAAAGACAGAUAAACCGUAUAGUUGUAGCUGUAAAACCAGAACUGCUGGUGGCUGCUGGCUUCUAAAGUCUUUCCUGAUUAGAGCCAGUGUUAAAGUUCCUUAGCUGGAGCUUAACAACACAAUGGCUGAAGGAACGGAGUUGCCACACAAGUGUUUAAAUUCCACACCGGAUCCCUAGCUACAACAGAGAGGAAAGUUCAAACAACAAAAACAGAGUUGCAAGGUCUGACUUGCGUGUCAUGGAUACUCCUAACUCAUCACCAGGCUGCUCUUGUGCGCGGCAACCAGACCCUCCCCAGCAACACAGCUAAUUGAAUAAGGAUUUCGAAGCUUUGGGCUACCGAUAAGCCAAAGUGGCACAUGGCUCAUAACUCAAACAUUUCAUUUUAGGCAGCUGUUAUUUUUCCUUGCCAGGGCUAAUUUGGACUCUUCAAUCACUCUCUGUUCUUUAAUGAAAAAUUGUUUGUAGUUAUUGGUGGAGACAGAGAGCUACAGUUAUUGUUCUUGGAAGGUAAAUAAUUAUUGCUCAUUUUACUCAUGUAUACAAGUGAUACUAAAUUCAGGGCAU